CGCCGAAAGGGGUACGUAAUACCGGAUAUUCUUGCUUUUCAUAAGUUAUGCAAGCAAGGGUGGCCUCUGCAUAUGCUCUAAAGCAUGAAGAGGGGUCGUGCGUACCAUUAGCUAGUAGGUGGGGUAAUGGCCUACCUAGGCGACGAUGGUUAGCGGGUCUGAGAGGAUGAUCCGCCACACUGGCACUGGAACACGGGCCAGACUCCUACGGGAGGCAGCAGUGAGGAAUAUUGCGCAAUGGGGGAAACCCUGACGCAGCGACGCCGCGUGAGUGAAGGAAGGCCUUCGGGUCGUAAAGCUCUGUCAAGAGGAAAGAAGUGUACAAUGGCUAAUACCUGUUGUAUUUGACGGUACCUCUAAAGGAAGCACCGGCUAACUCCGUGCCAGCCGCAGC
rnacentral:rRNA from 1 species